rnacentral:lncRNA from 1 species
GUAUGCUGGGAGGACCAAGCCGGAGGUUCCCACUAUGAGCCCGGAGUCUGUGCAGCCAGAUGACGCAUGAGCUCUAUUCAAAAUACCCAAGAUUUGGAAGCAACCUAAGUGCAUAUCAGCAGACAAAUGGAUAAAGAAAAUGUGGUACAUAUACAAAAUGGAGUACUAUUCAGCUGUAAAAAAGAAUGAGAUCCUGUCAUUUGCAACAACAUGCAUGCAACUGGAGGUCGUUAUGCCUCUGCCUCUGAAUGUGAAGGGAAACUGGACCAGCUCAGUGUCAAGCCUACAGACAUUUCCUUGUUCCUGGGGACUGAGCAGUUUGAAGUUUCCAAAGAUGAAAACAUCUACUCUGAAGAGACCUGAAUGGACAAGAGAUGUUUUCCUCUUCCUUACCAUAAUAAAAGAGGACUGCUCCUGACCACAGGAUAUGCCUGGUCCAGGAAAUGGCCACAUUUCCCCCCUCAGGACCUCUACUUGGAUGGGCUGCCUUGGAAAUAAGAUGGAAACAUCCAUCUUCUCUGUGGUACUAAUUUAGAGUGAUCUUGACUGCCUACAACAUUAAGGAGUAUACUGGAUUGGAAACCCAUUCAAUCUGAUGUCUGCUGAGGAAUGGAGAAAGACCACUGGUGAUUCCUCCAUCCUCACUCCUGUGUCCCUCCUUGCAUUGCAAGUGCUUUACAAGUCUUCCCGAUAGACCAUGAGCAUCCUGAGGGCUGGUAUCAAAUUUAACUCAUCUCCUAUCCUCAGUGCCUCGUACAAGAUGCUGGAUGUAGGAGGAGUUCAGAAGCUCAAACUGAGGCAGAAUCACAGCGAUUUGGAAAAUGGUCCAAUCAGCUAUAGUGGAAGAGCAGAAUCAUUGAAUAUAAAACAUGGAGAUGUCAGCAGCAGGGGCUGUGAGCUGAACAGCUUCACUGGGAAGAGGAUAUGGGUGAGAAGGUACAGCAAUGGGUACCUCCAUUAACAGGUAAGCUGGAUCCUCCAUAGGAAUAGGCACUAGCUGGUUUUGGAUGAAGGUGUCGUAAGAUCAGAUACACUUUUGGGUGAUCAGCAUGAUCUGGGUAUGGACAUGGCAGAGCAGGUGGAAGGGAAGGGACCAAUAUGUGUCAAUAACCAUCUAUGAGCCAGGCACUUACCGGGAAGUAUAAUGUCUUUGUAGUUAGACAGACCAGUAGUGUCUGUUGCUCUGGAGGAAGUUACUUAAACUCACCAAGACUCAGUUUUCUCUGUAUUAAAAUGAUGACACCUACCUCACUAUCUGGCCAUUGGGAUUAAAUAUGAGAAUAUGUGUGAAAAUUUAUGUCAUAUGGUAAGCACUCAGAUGUUUCCUGGUGGAACAGCAUGGUGUGGAUUAGGAACAUCCAAACUCUGACAUCAAGCUGAACUUUUGAAAUAGAGGCCUCCCUGCUCACUAGUUGGGCAACCUUGAACAAGCUAGUUAAACUGUCUAGAGCUCAGUUUUGUUAUCUGGUGAGAUUAAUAGCAUUGAAUGGUGUAAAGCACAUUCUCAGUAAAUGCUCAUUAUUAUGAUUAUAGUUAUUAAUGUUUAUUUAACUUUGAAAUAAUAAUGUGUAGGAGCUCCUCAGGUAGAUAAUGGAAAUAAGAAAUUUCUUAGGUCAUGGAAGCAUGGAGGUAUGGAAAAUUUUGGAGAACAAAGAGGAGUCUGGUGAAGUAGGGUGGGGAUACUGGGCAGAUGCAAAGAUUGCCAAGGGUUAUAUCAUAAAGGCCGGGAUACCAGCCUGGCAUCAACUGCCUUAGAUUGGGAAGAUGCAAAACUGUGGUCUGGAGUCAGCCCUGCAGAAGCCUGUUUCCUGACUUUCCAUCUUCAAUCUCUUUUCUAUGCAGUUACCAGAGUCAUGUUUUGAAAUCUCAAAUCUGAGCAUCUAUCCUCAAAUAGAGGCCUACAUGGCUUCCAGUUCCUCCAGGAGAAGGUCCAAAUCCCUUAAGAUGACUUUAAGGCCCUCAAGUGUUCCAGGCUCUGUACGUUCUUGUGCCACAACUAUGCCACAACAAAACAGUUUUUCCCCCAUUUCUACUUUGUUUUUCCAGCUGUAGAGUCAAAGCCUCAAGAAGGGGAAAGGGACGAAUGGACACCAGGUCAUGUGCCAGGUAGCUGGGAAAUGAAUACUUCUAUUUUCUAUUCUUUUUUUUUUUUUUUUUUUUUUGAGAUGGAGUCUCACACUGUUGCCCGGGCUGGAGUGCAAUGGCGCAAUCUCAGCUAACUGCAACCUCUGCCUCCCAGGUUCACAGAUUCUCCUGCCUCAGCCUCCCGAGUAGCCGGGAUUACAGGUGCGCACCACCACGUCUGGCUAAUUUUUUGUAUUUUUUAGUAGAGACGGGGUUUCCCUAUGUUGGCCAUACUGGUUUCAAACUCCUGACCUCGUGAUCCGCCUGCCUCGGCCUCCCAAAGUGCUGGGAUUACAGGUGUGAGCCACCGCACCUGGCCAAAUACUUCUAUUUUCAUCUCUUAGGAAAGCAUAUGAUGUAAAUCACUGUUCCCAUAUUCAAAUUUAAAUAAUGGCUUACCUUUCCGGGGAUGUUUGUAUUUGAAUGAAGCAGCAAGUUUUUGCCACACUGUAAUACUUUAACUUUACAGAUAUUUUGACUCCUUCUGUUUCUGAUUUGCUUUCAUAAAUGAAUAAAAAUACAUUAUUUUACAUCAAAUUCACAUGAGGUAUUAUUAAUUGAAAUAAAAUAACAGAAAAUUGGGAAUGGCUAUAACUUUCCAUUAUUAAAUGUAUUAGAGGUGAAAAAAAUUGGUAAAGUUGAAAAAUGUAAAAAUCAACUAGGGAAAUAGUAGUUUCUGGAGAAAUAACCCAACAAAACCAUCAAAGGCUAGAGCAUGACAUGGUAAAAAAAAUUAUUGGUAAAAUAUUGAUAGUGAAAAAGAUCAUUUUGGAAAAAUUUAUAAAUGCAAAAUCGAAUUAAAAAAUUAGACUGGCCCAGGUGCAGUGGCUCACGCCUGUAAUCCCAGCACUUUGGGAGGCCAAGGCGGACAGAUCACCUGAGUCAGGAGUUCGAGACCAGCCCGACCAAUAUCGUGAAACCUCAUCUCUACUAAAAAUACAAAAAUUAGCUGAGCAUGGUGGCACGUGCCUGUAAUCCCAGCUACUUGGGGGGCUGAGACAGGAGAAUUGCUUGAACCCGGAAGGCAUAAGUUGCAGUGAGCCAAGAUCGCACCACUGCACUCCAGCCUGGGCAACAGAGUAAGACUCUAUCUCAAAAAAAAAAAAAAAAAAAAAAUAGACUUUGUGGAAAUAAUGGCCCCCAGAGAAAACUUACAAAGACAGAAACUUUUCUCAUUUAAUUUGAUGUGGGCAAAAAAAAUGAAUGAAAGCUGUAUCAAAAAUAAAUGUACAUGGAAAACAGUGGAUAUUCAUGAAAAAUAAUUUUAGUAAGAUAGAAAUAAAGAUGAUUAAAAUACUACUAAAUAGAAAAUUGGUCCAAGAAUUAAAAUGGCUUAAUUCUCCCAGAGAAAUAAUGUCUUUUUCAUUCAGGAAAAUUCACCAAUACUGGUAUAAUUCUGGGGCAAUGUUUGUAUUUAUGAGCAUUGAGUUAAGACAAUUUCUGGGUCACUACAUUUUGAUUGAAUUCAGCAAUUGUCAGCCAGAAAUUGUACCACUCAUUUACUGGGCAAUAACACUAUACAACUACUUACUAGAAAAGGAGCUUCUGGCUAAAAUCUUUUUCUGAACCCAAGAGAAUUGCAAGGAUUUAUCCAUUUCUUCUGGGUAGAUAGUUUGAUUCUGAGAGUAAGCUGCAAUGCGAUGUGCUACUGACAUGAGACCGUUCCCAAUGGGAAGAACAGCAAUCUCACUCCGUGAUCUGGAAGCAUACAGAAAAGCCUGUCUUCUUCAAAGGCAUUUGGAGGUAAGCACCUCAAUCCUGCUCCGACUGAGCUUCUUGGAGUGUCCCAAGGAAUCGCCAACUCUCAGUCUCUUCUGUCAUUCCCUUAAAUUAUUUCUCCUCUCUUCUCUGUUGCUGGGAACACAAAUAGGACUGAAGGAUCCUGGGGAUUUGCUCCCUGCAGUUGGCAAAGCAGUGAUAUGAUAUGGAGUCUUAGUAUUUAGAAGUAACACACAUAGGGCACCUCCUCAAUAUAGCCCCACAGACAUUGCCUGCUAAUUUCCUUUGCUGCAUCAUUAUCAGCACACAAAAGCAUUUACUAGGAUCUCUUUGAAAACGCUUCAUUGUGACACUGGGCACAAUGAAGGGAACAGAUGUGAUGGGCCAACCUCCAGGGGUUUGCAAUCCAAGGCAGAAGGACAGACAGUGCAAACACACAUGAGCGCUCAGGCAUAACCUGCAAGCCAGGACACAGGUAUGACAGUCGGGUUUGACACAGUGUGGGAACCACAGAGCAGCGGUCUUGCUUUUACAUAAGGAUGCUUCUUCUUACCACAGGGUUCCCCUAGGGCUCCUUUAACAACAAGCCCUCUUCUUGCAUUUUUAAUGGGAUCUGAUUUAAAAUUAUGCUUUGAAAAUAACUUAUGCGGGAACAUAUUGACUGCAUACAGCUCAUGAUGUUGGUAUAGGGAGAGGUGGCCAAUACUGAAUAUGCCAGGCAAGAAAUGUAAACUUCUGUUUACAUAAUACACAACCCAAGGGGCUCCUUCCAUUGUGUAGAAGCAUCAAAAAACCUGGUUCAUUCUGUGCCUAGCAGAACACCUGGUCUGUGUUUGUUGGUCAAAUAGUAUUUAUUAAAUGAAAUAAUUAAAUAAUUACAAACAAAAUGUCUACUCCAUUCAUAGGUAAGACGAAUAAAACACAUUUCUGUUUUCUACUUUUUCUUUCUUCUCCACCUUCCUCUUUUCCCUUGUUACUCCUUCUUUUUUUCCUUGCUUUUCUUCUCCUCUCCUUCUUCCUCCUCCUUUGAUUCCUCUUCCUUGUCUUAACAUUUCUCAUUUUAAAGUGUGAACUUAUUUUGGUAUAUGGUAUAAAUUGAGCCUUUGCACAUUUUCCCCAGGGUGUUAAUAACUUCCCUAAUGCCACUUAUUAAAUAAGUGGUCCUUCCUCGGACCACUGAUUUAAGUCUUUUCCUGACAGGGGCUCUAGUUUAUCAAUCUUUAUGUCUCCAGUGCCUGCUGCAAAACCUAGAGAUACUUGUGGGUAUAUGAUGCUAUAUGAUGUACUUAGGUUCUUUUUGGGUGUAUGGUGUAUUUGUGUUAUGAAGUAUGGUGUAUGGCAUAUUUGUGUUGCCACACUUAGCACUUGUCAUGGGAAGAAUUAUGCUUCCCCCAAACCAACUUCAUAUGUUGAAAGUUUUAAACCCUAGUACCUCAGAAUGUGACUGUAUUUGGAGAUAUUUUUAAACAGGUGACUAUGUUAAAGUCAUGUAAUUAGGGAGGGCCCUAAGCCAAUACAACUGAUCUCAUAAGAAGAAAAAAUUUACACACAGCCAUGCACAGAAGGAAGACUACAUGAAGAUACCGGGAGAAGACAGCCAUCUAUGAGCCGAUAGAGGGGCCUCAGAAGAAGCCAGCUCUGCUACACCUUGAUCUUGAACUUCCAGCCUCCAGAACUGUGAGAAAAUAAAUUUCUGCUGCUUGAGCCAUGCAGUUUGUGGUACUCUGGUAGGCAGCCCUAAUAAACUAACACAGCAACUAUAAAAGUAACUUAUUUUUAUAUUAGGGCCUAUCUGUCUGUGAGCUAUCAACUUCAUUACUUUGAAAUAUCUGACUAUGCUUUCAAUAAGAUUAUUAUAUCAUUUCAAAUAUGUAACAUAUUCUUAGAAAAAAAUGAAGGAAAUAUAGAAAAAUGUGAAUUAUGCUUAUCUCUGACUGUGAGAUUUUGGGUUAUUGUACUUUUUUCUAUGUCUCUUCCAGUGUUUUCCAGAUUUUCUAUAAUAAGCAUGAUUACUUUUCUAAAUAAGGAAAGUAGCUAUUUAAAAGUUAUAUUAAGGUGCUAUUGUGUGUAUCAGAUGGUGGCCUAAGAAGUGAAAAAGGGGAGGUUUGCAUGUAGAUAAGUUUUGCAACCUCUGAGGCUCCUUAAACAUUUUUGAAUUGCUGUAGCCUAGGCUUGUUUUGUAAAAAGUGCUUGUUGCUGAAAAUGAUGAUUUGUUUGGAUAAACCCCCUCCUCAUUUUUUGGGUGGUGGGGGAGCUUUUUAUUGCAUAGUCACAAUGGGAGGCAUUGUUCACACAGACCAGCAUCGUCAUACUUCUAUUCUUGUCACUGACAGUAUUAUUUGCAACUGCUUUUUUUCCAGCCUCUUCUAAUUUCCACACUACCACUUAUUGUAUUUCAUUAAAGCUGGGUUAGAAAUGCAAGGCAUAUAAUUAGAUUGAGAACUAUGCUAUCGAUUUGGUUUUCCAUUAUGAUGUUAUCACAUGCACAAAAAAGUCAUUUGGUACAAUUGUUAUGAUUAAAACUACAAAAGAGAUCUAUUACAUCAGACUUAGUUUUCAGUGCCUGAUGCAGUGUAAAAUAAGAGUGAGAGGGGUUGAUCUGUUUAUAUUAGAGCUGCAUAUGCCAUGUAACCAUAAAUGUCUGUAGGCUAAUAAUUUCAAAGGAACCUUUAGUAGAUGAGAGGUUUUUUAGAAAUUCAUAUUAAAUAAAAGUCAAUCAAUACUUCAAUACUCAAUUUCUAAGGUGGUGGUGGAUGAUAAUCCUUUUCCAGCUCUGCACUAUGCAAAGACUCAUGCUCCACAUUUGCAGCUUUCUAUUGCAGGGAGGCUAGGAGGGGCAAAGAUGGAUUUUGGCAUUAGACAGAAGUGGGGUCAAGUCACAGUUCCAUUGCUGCUUAGGAGAAGGCAGGAUCAUUAUUUAAUUCAUAUCUACCAUGAGCCGGGCUUAAUAGACAUUAUCUCUGUCAAUUCCUACAAAGCUGUGAGGUUACUGGUUCAAGUUCAUGUAGCUAGUAAUUGAUACGAUUUUAGUUCCCUUCAUCCCUAAAUGUCCAUGUACUCUCUGCAGUAAUAUUCUCUUUCUCUUUUGUUGAAUAAUGUUGGAUAAGUUACUUAAUGUUUCUGAGUCUUAGUUUUCUCAUCUGAUAAACAAGAACAAUAACGUCCCUUCGUAAAGAUGGUUUUGAUUAUUAAAUGAAUUAACAUCUCUGUAAAACUGAGCAUUGUGCUUGGCACAUAAUAAGUACCCAGUAAACACACUUAUCUUUCUCUGCUUCUCAGUAAGUUCCCCCACAAUCCCAGGGGUAACCUUGGAGUUAUACUGGGUUAGAGGAAUGACACUGAUUUUCCUCAUCUCUGCAAAUGUAGGUAAUGAAAAGGUUAAAAAAAAACAAGAUCACUGAUGUAGAAAGACCUUGUUUAAUAGAAUAAUAUGGGAACUAACUACAAAGCUUAUCUUAUAGCUAUGCUUAAGUUGGUUUUGAUAAUCUACAAAAUUGAUUUAAAAGUAUUUAUUAAGCACCUAGUGCAUCACAGACAUGGGGGCUGGACAGAUUCUCAUGUACAUGCUGUUUAAUUUUUUUCCAACCACUUUCUGGGGGACAUAGUUGAAGAAACUGGGACCCAGAGAAGGUGGAAUAAUUUGAGCAGUGACUUGGAGAAUGAUUACAGUUUCCACAAACAGAAAUAAAGGUAUGUACAGGGAUCUUACAUAAAGUGAUAUUGGGCUACAUUUGAUCUUUCUAGUUGUUUUGAGUAAAACAGUCAAUUAGUCAGUUAAGUGGUGACUUAACUGCAAUGUCUAGAGUAGGAGCUAGGUAUGGCUGAACCCAAAAAAGGCUCAAAUCAGAGUUAUUGGAUGGCUCAUUCCUGUGACUUCUCUGCUUUGUUUCUGGUUGUCCCCAUUUUCAGGAAAGUUGACUUAUACCCCCAUUUUCUCAGAAACAUCAACAUAAGGAUAGUACCCCUUUUCUAGUCAAUUCAUGAAAUUUCCCAAGACAUUCUCUGAUUAGACUUAGUUGAAUUAUGUGCUCAUCCUGGAUCUACUGCUGAAGCUAGGGUGAUAGAAUACACUGAUGGGUCAGGCUUGGGUCACAUGCCUAGCCUGGAUUUGGGAGCAGAAUCCACUUGAACAGAAUUCAUGGAUGGAGAGUUGGGAGGGGUGGUGUAGCAGAUACUCUCAGUGUUCUGCCCAUACUUCCUAGGAUCUCAGCAACAUUUCCCUAUAUCUUUUUGUCAGGCAGCUGCCCUCAGGUUGUCAGAACCUGCUUUGCCUGUGCCCAUGGAGAGCAGAGAAUUUAUGUGUCCCUAAAGGCGGCCCUUAGGAGUGGUAAGGGUGGGGUAUGAAUACUCUAGCUCCUUUCUCUUGGUGGAAACAUCUCUCUCAGGUGUGUUCUAUACUGUUUCUAGAGCUUCUCUGUGGAAUUGAGCUAAAGUCAUCUACUUGGGUUUAUGAUACUAAAUAUUUUCUAGUUGCACUUAACCACACCCUUACCGGUUUUCUUGGGAAUAAUUCUAAAUAAAUCACUUUCCCAUGAGUCCUUGUUACAGGGUCUGCUUCUGGGGAACCUAAUCUGAGAGAUUUCUCCAAGGAAAAGUUGGGUACCUUAAUUAGUCAGUUAUUGCUGCACUAGAGCUAAAUAAAAGACAUAAAUAUCUAAGGCACUUACUGGAAUAAACAUCUUAUUUCCGCUAAGAGGUUGGCUAGGGAAGCUCUGCUUCAGAGUAUGGGUUGAGUAUAAGCCUGUUCCACAUGUCUUUUGCUCUGGGACCAGGCGUUGUGCAGCCCAUCCUUUUCUCAAGACAAAAGCCAAGCCAAGCAAGGACAUUUAAAGCUUCACUUCUGCUCACAUCAUAUCUAUUGGCCAAACAUUCCAUUGGCCAAAGCAAAUCACAUGGCCAAGUCAAGCAUCAGUAGUCUGGGGAAUAUUCUUCCUCUACUCUAGACACAUGGAAAAGGUUAUGCAUACUAAUUCUAUAUCAGGAGAGAAUGAGGAAUUGGGAACUGUAACCCAAUCCGCAACAUUUCAAUUGGAAGAAAUUACUCCGCAGGCAAGAAAUAUUUUUCCUCCAGGAGAUACUCUGCAGGCAUAACCAGCAGAUGUCUACCCUGAUUUACAGUAAGUCAUGUGUGAUAGGCUGAGUAAUGGCUCACAAAGAUGAUCGUGUUGUAAUUCCCAGAACCUGUGGAUAUGUACCUUGUGUGGCAAAAGGAACUGCACGGAUGCCAUUAAAAUAUGGAUCUUGAGAUGGGGAGAUUUUCCUGGAUUAUAGGUUGGCACAAUGUAAUUAUAAGCGUCCUUAUAAGAUGAAGGCAGGAAGUCAGAAAGGAGAGAAGAUGUUGCUCUGAUGGCUUUGAAGUUGAAGGAAGAGGCCAUGACCCAAGGAAUGGUGGCAGCUUCUAGAAAGUAGCUAAGGCAAGGAAUGGAUUAUUUCCUGGAGCCUCUAAAAGGAACCAGUCCUGGCAACACCUUAAUUUUAGUCCCAUAAGACUCCUCACAGACUUUUGACUUCCAGAACUAGAAGAGAAUAAAUGUGUGUUAGUUCAAGCCACUAAGUUUAUGGUAAUAUUGGCUGGCAAUAGGAAACUAAUACACCACGUGGUUUACAUAUUUUAAAAUACUUUAAUCCUGUAAAGUAGACAUUAUUUUUACCAUUUUAAGGCUGAAUAACUUGAAGUUCCAAUACAUGAAAUGAUUGGCCCAAGGCCAUAUAGGUGACAAGUAUCAGAGUUAGCAUUCAAAUGCAGGUCAAACUUCAAUAUUAAUGCCGUUGCCAUUGAAACACUAUUUUAGCUUCUGUUUUCUGCUAGUGAGUAAAUUAAGGAAUGAACUCAGAGAACUCUAGACCAUUCUUAAUUCAGCAGGAGAUGGGGGCAAAUGAAACUUCUUCAACAAUUGCCCUGGUCUUUGUGGUAGAGACUAUAUAAGUCUUUCCUCAAGUUUGUGACACAUACAGCGAUGAGCUCUUUGGGAAUGAAGAGAAGGUGCCUCUGAGUAUGGUGUUAUGGCCUGAAUUAAGUCUUCUCAAAAUUUAUAUGGUGAAGCUCUAACUCCCAACCUGACUGUAUUUGGAGAUAGAGCACCUAAAGAGGUAAUUAAGGUAAAAUGUUGUUAUAAGGGAAGGGCCCUAAUUGAAUAGAACUGGUGUCAUUAUAAGAAGAGGAAGACAUGAGGCAUGGGCGUGCACAGAGGUAAGAUCAUGCAAAGAGGCAGCAAGAGAGUGACCAUCUGCCACCCAAUGAGAGAAGCCUCAGAAGAAACCAAACCUGCAGGGACUUUGGUCUUGGACUUCCAGCCUCCAAAACAGUGAGAAAUAAAUUUCUGUCGUUUAAGCCACCCAGUCUGUAGUAUUUUGUUAUGGCAGCCCAAGCAGACUAAAUACGGAUGACAUCUGACCUCUUUUGCCUUUCUGGAAGCUUCAAAUCAUAUUAGGUUUGUUCUUAAAGUUUUAAUAAUUCAUGCCUUUUACAAUGGUAAACAUUUGUACUUCAUUUAAAGAAGACAGCUGUGUAGAUUAAUUCAAAUUGAUGUGAUUCGAGAGCAGGCUAUCUUUUCAUACCGUAAAGAAGAGUGAGAGAAGAAAAGGUCUCAAAAAUGUGUAGGCAAGUAGGGAAGUGUGCUGUAGAGAAAGUAUCAGGUUUUUUGUUUUGUUUUAAUACCCCUGACACUGAAUGGGUAUCAUAAAGUUGUUCUUUUCACAUUAGUAUGAGCAGCGGCAGGGCCGCAGUCGACAUCCUGAGGGUCUUGGGAGAAAAAAAUGUGUGGAGAGUAAUUUAACCAGAAAGAGGCUACCGCAUUCUCAAAAAGACAUUAAAGAAAUUGCAAACAGGCAAGUAUAAAAUAUUUAUUGCACUCCAACUCUGGGCCAUGCAAGGUGUGGAGUCAUCUAUUGAGUUACUAUUUAUAGAGUUUUUAUUAAUGAGUUGUAAUAGUUUAUUAAUUAGGGCAAUUCUAGUUGCAGUAACAAACAAAUGCCAAUACAUUAGUAGAUAAGCUUAGGAGAAACUUGUCUCUCGAUCUGAAUAUAGUCCAAGGAAGCAUUCCUGUAGGUGGUAGGAUUUUUUUCCAUGUGGUGAUUUGGCGAUCAGGGCUCCAAUUUUUUGCUCAAUGAUUCUUGAGGAACCUUCUCUAGAACAAAGAGAAAAGGGGGGAAAUGGCACACUGGCUGCCAUUUUCAUAAGUGAUGCUCUGUACUUCUUGCAUUUCAUUGCUGAGAACUGGUCACAUAUCUUUAAAAAUUCAUGUUUUUUUUUUUAACUAUGUGGAGUUGUCUUUGGAAAGCAGCUGUCCAGGCAGGUACUACAAAAUCCCCUCUUGUGUAACGCAGAAACCAUAUUACAAGUACUCACUAACAACAAGUGAAUGAAAGUGAUGUACGUCACACCUGAGCCAAAAUGGUUAAAAGUGGGUAUAGUUUUUUACCCUCUUAUUUGCUUACAGCGGAAGGCCCUGGGACAUGGAAGAACCCCUAAAUAAAGGAACCUGGGGUUCUGAAUGACUGUAUAGAAUGCUUCCUUCCUCAUUUAUCAAGACUACCUGCAUUUUACUGCAGGUGAACUGGAAUAAACUUUUAUUGUGUUUGUCAACAAAAUGUUGGAAUGGCCUUGCUACAGUGGCUAAGAUCGCUCAAACAAAUAUUCAUGGCCUCAUCUGAAAGCAAGAGAUGAUGGUAAAUAUGAUCUCAGGUUGGCCAACCACUUCUCAUUGAAAGCUGUUUCAAUACUUUGGAAACAGGAGUGCAGCUUUUAGGUGCUCAGUUAGCUGACUCUACACAAACACCUUUCACAGUGCCUGACUUUACUGAAUGAAUAAAUGAAUGGCCCACAUUUAAGUGGAUGCCCUCCUCUGGGAAGCUCUGUGCACGUUGAUGUAGCUAUUAAAAAUUGACUACAGGACUUUUUACAAACAUGUUAAGCUAUUUAUAUACGUUAUUUUAUUAAUACUGGUGAUAAUCCAGUUAAUUAAAUUUCAUUUUAUUGCAUUCAUUUAUUUUUAAAAUUGUGUCUUCCUUUUUGAACUGUGAGAUUUUUGUUGUCACGAUUGGUGCCCUUGGUUGCCGGUGCAGUGCAUAGCACAUGGCAAAGACUCAGUGUCUGUUGAAUGAAUACAUGCUUGGGCAGAUGGAUGGACAGAUACAGGAUAGACAUGAGGCCAACUGUGUGUGAUAUAGGGUCUAAAUGCCAGGACCGAGGGGCAAAAAAGAGUAAAAGAAAAAUAAAUAGGCAUUUUCACUAGGUGAGGAGUGGGUGCUGGAUGGUAAACUGGCCUCAGGCAUUGGGAGAAAGUCCAGUCAAUAACUUCAAGCACAAAUCAGAAAUAUGUGGUUUGGGGCAACAGUCUAAGCAAGGGAUGAGUAGGUCUUCAGAGCUGAGGGAUCUGGGAGUUGUCUUCAGGUCCUUCAGGCAAAUACUCAUGAGUCUGCUAGGCUAGACAUUUCUGGCCUAAAAAGGUGCUGAUUUAGUAAAAAGUCAUGUAUCUAAAAUGUUUGGUUAUCUAAGAUUGAAGAGUAAUCAGACAUUUCUGGCUAAUGUCAGCACUUUAUAUUUUUCAAACAUCAGAUGUAUGAUUUAAAGUAAUCAUGCUCCUCAGUCUAGUUCACUCUCAUCAUCAGUCUUCGUAGGUGCCCUUUAGGUUUUGCUAUAUUUUACUACUUGCUCUUUUUGUUCUUUCUCUCCACCUUUACCAUCUCUUCCCCCUCCUCAAUUACCACCACAAUGGUAUAUUUGAUAUGUGCCCUCUAAACCACCUGUCACAGAAGAGGUGGUAGAGCACGCUGUUUAAGAAUGCAGGUUUAGGAGACCAGGCUCAACUCCUCACCCUGCCAGACUGCAUUGUGUGACCUGAGGCAAGCUGUUUAGCUUCUCUGUACCUCAGUUUCUUAAUCUGUGUAUGAUUAUUCACUGAAUUAAAUAGAUUAAUAUAUAUAUAUAUAUAUAUAUAGUAUAAAAUUGAUUAGUACCUGGGGCAUAGAGUGCUUGUAAACCAUU